UACGUAGGGGGCAAGCGUUGUCCGGAAUUAUUGGGCGUAAAGCGCGCGCAGGCGGCCUUGUAAGUCUGUCGUUUAAACUCGGAGCUCAACUUCGAGUCGCGAUGGAAACUGUAAAGCUUGAGUGCAGAGGAGGAAAGUGGAAUUCCACGUGUAGCGGUGAAAUGCGUAGAGAUGUGGAGGAACACCAGUGGCGAAGGCGACUUUCUGGGCUGUAACUGACGCUAAGGCGCGAAAGCGUGGGGAGCAAACAGG
rnacentral:rRNA from 1 species